GAUGAAGAACGUAGCGAAAUGCGAUACUUGGUGUGAAUUGCAGAAUCCCGUAAACCAUCGAGUCUUUGAACGCAAGUUGCGCCCGAAGCCAUUAGGCCGAGGGCACGCCUGCCUGGGUGUCACACGUCGUUGCCCCCCCAUCUACUCCUUCGGGAUUGCGGGGGGCGGAUGAUGGCCUCCCGUGCGCCUCGUCGCGCGGUUGGCAUAAAUGCCAAGUCCUCGGCGACGCACGCCACGACAAUCGGUGGUUGCGAAACCUCGGUUGCCCGUCGUGUGCGGUCGUCGCGCAUCGAGGGCUCGAAAAAAUUGCCGGGCUCCGGCUCGGCUUUCAACGCGACCCCAGGUCAGGCGGGGUUACCCGCUGAAUUUAAGCAUAUCAAUAAGCGGAGGA
rnacentral:misc_RNA from 1 species